rnacentral:rRNA from 1 species
GACGAACGCUGGCGGCAUGCCUAACACAUGCAAGUCGAGCGAGCAGAUCCCUUCGGGGUGAAGCUAGCGGCGGACGGGUGAGUAACACGUGGGCAACCUGCCUCAUAGAGGGGAAUAGCCUUCCGAAAGGAAGAUUAAUACCGCAUAAGAUUGUAGCUUCGCAUGAAGCAGCAAUUAAAGGAGCAAUCCGCUAUGCGAUGGGCCCGCGGCGCAUUAGCUAGUUGGUGAGGUAACGGCUCACCAAGGCGACGAUGCGUAGCCGACCUGAGAGGGUGAUCGGCCACAUUGGGACUGAGACACGGCCCAGACUCCUACGGGAGGCAGCAGUGGGGAAUAUUGGACAAUGGGGAAAACCCUGAUGCAGCAAUGCCGCGUGAGUGGUGACGGCCUUCGGGUUGUAAAGCUCUGUCUUCGGGGACGAUAAUGACGGUACCCGAGGAGGAAGCCACGGCUAACUACGUGCCAGCCGCCGCCGUAA